CGACCGCUGGCGGCGUGCUUAACACAUGCACAUCGACCGGAAAGGCCCUGCUUUUGUGGGGUGCUCGAGUGGCGAACGGGUGAGUAACACGUGAGUAACCUGCCCUUGACUUUGGGAUAACUUCAGGAAACUGGGGCUAAUACCGGAUAGGAGCUCCUGCUGCAUGGUGGGGGUUGGAAAGUUUCGGCGGUUGGGGAUGGACUCGCGGCUUAUCAGCUUGUUGGUGGGGUAGUGGCUUACCAAGGCUUUGACGGGUAGCCGGCCUGAGAGGGUGACCGGCCACAUUGGGACUGAGAUACGGCCCAGACUCCUACGGGAGGCAGCAGUGGGGAAUAUUGCACAAUGGGCGGAAGCCUGAUGCAGCAACGCCGCGUGCGGGAUGACGGCCUUCGGGUUGUAAACCGCUUUCGCCUGUGACGAAGCGUGAGUGACGGUAAUGGGUAAAGAAGCACCGGCUAACUACGUG
rnacentral:rRNA from 1 species